CUCCAAGCAAGCAAAGUGGACGCGCAUGGGGCGGCCACUAGCGAAGGGGGUCGCGCCCGAUCUCACGGCGCGGCGGCGCCCGAUCUCACGACACGGCGGCGCCCGCUCCCCCUCGACUCUCGGGCUGCAUCAGUCUUCUCCAUGAGGGCGAAGUGGCUGCACGCGGAGUAACUAGGCCGCGGGCGAUCCCCCGACGCGGUGGCUCCCGCAUCCCUCGCCUCUCUGGUCACACCGGGCUCUUUUCUAAGCACGACGUGAGUGCACGCAGGGCGGCCGCCGACGAAGGAGAUCGCGCGGCGAUGCGGAGCCCUCUGCUCCAUGCCGGUUUGAGGCCCACACCGUUCACCUCCAUCGCCUCCACGAGUCACCUCCUCCCCGCUGCCAGGAAUCCCGUCGCCGGCCAGGUUACUGCACCCAUUCCUCCCACCCUGCUUGCUGCUUAUGUGUGAUGUGUGGGUGUUCUUGACAGCUUGUCAUCGUGUGCUUGCCGGCCUGCUGGUGCUGCUGCUUUGCUGUGUAUGAUUAUUGAGUCUGACUGUUAGACUAAGAUCCAUCCUCUUGAGGGAAGGGAUUAUGAUGCUGCUGAACUGGAGGUCCUUUACCGCGAAUCCAGAAGUUUGGUGCUGGGCGUGAUGUUAGUGUCUCGGCAUUUCAAGCCGCUUACUUUGCUUCAAUUUUGCGAGAAAGUUAUGGUGGACGAGGACAAGCUUCCUGGACAGAAGAUCUGUGUAUUCUUCUCGAUGGUGCAAAGUUGAGAUAUCUCAAACUUGAGUGGCUAUACGAACUCAAGUUCUAUUUCCUCCGAUGACUCAAGUUCACAUGUGGAUGGAUGUUAACACUAUUUUCUUAGCGACCAUGCUACUUACAACAACUAUAUGCAAAGUAUCUUAUGUUACUACAUACGGCAAAACAAAGUGAUGGUGGUCUACAAGAUGAUCUUGAUGAAUUCAUCUCCAGGGUAAAAGGGCCAACCAUCGUGCAUGCCAUUUGGUUGGAAAUAACAUUGCCUUAAAAAUGUAUGAGUGCAUUCUUGGCAUCUGACUUUGCCAAAUCCAACAUUUAUGCUGCCUUGCUGGGCGUAUCUUUGUAAAUUCUCUUGGGGACAGAAAGUAUAACCUGCAAUUUGUGACACUACCAUCAAAGUACAUGAGGUUCACACAUACAUAAUCAUCUAUUUUAUGUAAUUUGUGAUCAGCCACCAUGUAAUGAAAAAAAAUUACAUUCAACAACG